rnacentral:ncRNA from 1 species
AUAAAUCACUAGGGGUGCCUUUUCAAAAGGCUGAGAUCAGAGUAAUCGACUUUGAGACCCUCGGAACCUGAUACGGUUGAUACCGGCGAAGGGAAGUGUGCGGACGAUAUU